rnacentral:miRNA from 1 species
UUAUUUUGCUUCUUUCU